rnacentral:misc_RNA from 1 species
UUAAGUUCAGCGGGUAUCCCUACCUGAUCCGAGGUCAAAAUGAUAAAAUAGCUUGUGGAGGGCCGAUCCGGAGUCCCCGAGUUCGCGUUUCUGCUGCGCUCGAAGCCAACGUACCGGCCGCCAAUAGAUUUGAGGCGCACACCCCCCGCGGAGGGGGGCGUGACAUGCCCAACACCAAGCAGAGCUUGAAGGUUUAAAUG